GACGAGGUGGCUGAGUGGUAAAGCGCUUGACUUACGAACAGGAGGUCUCGGGUUCGAAUCCUGGUGUUUUUA
rnacentral:tRNA from 1 species